rnacentral:rRNA from 1 species
CCUACGGGUGGCAGCAGUCGAGAAUCAUUCACAAUGGGGGAAACCCUGAUGGUGCGACGCCGCGUGGGGGAAUGAAGAUCUUGGGAUGGUAAACCCCAGUCAUGUGGGAGCAAAUGAAGAAGAUAGUACCACAAGAGGAAGCGAAGGCUAACUCUGUAACAGCAGCAGCGGUAAUACGGAGGUCGCAAGCGUUAUUCGGAAUCACUGGGCGUAAAGGGGGCGGCGGCGGCUGCGUAAGUCGGGUGUGAAAGGCUAGGGCUUAACCCGGGGACGGCUUAUGAGACUGUGAAACUAGAGUAAGGGAGGGGUAAGCGGAAUUCCCGGUGUAGCAGUGAAAUGCGUAGAUA